GACGAACCGUCCAAACGUUAUUCGGAAUCACUGGGCUUACAGAGUUCGUAGGCGGUCUGGCAAGUUGGGUGUGAAAUCCCUCGGCUCAACCGAGGAACUGCGCUUGAAACUACCAGACUCGAGGGAGAUAGAGGAAAGCGGAACUGAUGGUGGAGCGGUGAAAUGCGUUGAUAUCAUCAGGAACACCGGUGGCGAAGGCGGCAUCCUGGACCGACACUGACGCUGAGGAGCGAAAGCCAGGGGAGCAAACGGG
rnacentral:rRNA from 1 species